AAUCAACGCUGGCGGCGUGCCUCAGACAUGCAAGUCGAACGAUUAAAGCUCCCUUCGGGGAGUGUAUAGAGUGGCGCACGGGUGAGUAACACGUAAGUAAUCUACCUUUGAGUGGGGAAGUAACCCGGGAACCCGAGCUAAUACCGCAUAACGCAGCGGCAUCGCAAGAUGACAGUUGUUAAAGGAGCAAUCCGCUUAAAGAGGAGCUUGCGGCAGAUUAGCUAGUUGGAAGGUAACGGCUUACCAAGGCUACGAUCUGUAUCCGGUCUAAGAGGACGGUCGGACACACUGACACUGAAUAACGGGUCAGACUCCUACGGGAGGCAGCAGUCGGGAAUUUUGGGCAAUGGGCGAAAGCCUGACCCAGCAACGCCGCGUGAAGGAUAAAGUAUUUCGGUA
rnacentral:rRNA from 1 species